rnacentral:rRNA from 1 species
GACGAACGCUGGCGGCGUGCUUAACACAUGCAAGUCGAACGGAAAGGCCCUGCUUUUGUGGGGUGCUCGAGUGGCGAACGGGUGAGUAACACGUGAGUAACCUGCCCUUGACUUUGGGAUAACUUCAGGAAACUGGGGCUAAUACCGGAUAGGAGCUCCUGCUGCAUGGUGGGGGUUGGAAGGUUUCGGCGGUUGGGGAUGGACUCGCGGCUUAUCAGCUUGUUGGUGGGGUAGUGGCUUACCAAGGCUUUGACGGGUAGCCGGCAUGAGAGGGUGACCGGCGACAUUAGGACUGAGAUACGGCCCAGACUCCUACGGGAGGCAGCAGUGGGGAAUAUUGCACAGUGGGAGGAAGCCUGAUGCAGCAACGCCGCGUGCGGGAUGACGGCCUUCGGGUUGUGAACCGCUUUCGCCUGUGACGAAGCGGGAGUGACGGUAAUGGGUAAAGAAGCACCGGCUAACUACGUG